rnacentral:rRNA from 1 species
GGCGCACGGGUGAGUAACACGUAGGUAAUCUACCUUUGGGUGGGGAAUAACAGCCGGAAACGGCUGCUAAUACCGCAUAAUGCAGUCGGCUCGACAUCUGAGACAUGUUGUUCAAAGCUGGGGGAUUCGCAAGAACCUCGCGCCUAAAGAGGAGCCUGCGGCAGAUUAGCUAGUUGGUGGGGUAAUGGCUCACCAAUGGCGACGAUCUGUAACCGGCCUGAGAGGGCGGUCGGUCAACACUGACACUGACAUACGGGUCAGACUCCUACGGGCAGGCAGCGAGUCGGGAAUUUUGGGCAAUGGCGCGAAAGCCUGACCCAGCAACGCCGCGUGAAGGAUGAAAUCCCUCGGGAUGUAAACUUCGCAAGAAUUGGGAAGAAUAAGUGGGGGACAAUUACCCCCCAUGAUGACGGUACCAUUUGUAAGCUCCGGCUAACUCCGUGCCAGC